rnacentral:rRNA from 1 species
GAUCCUGGCUCAGGACGAACGCUGGCGGCAUGCCUAACACAUGCAAGUCGAACGGAGAUAUUUGGAAGCUUGCUUCUGGAUAUCUUAGUGGCGGAUGGGCGAUUAACGCGUGAGCAACCUGGCCUUCAGAGUGGAACAACGUCUGGAAACGGGCGCUAAUACCGCAUAAUACAAGAGAGUCGCAUGGCUUUUUUGUCAAAGGAGAAGUCCGCUGAAGGAUGGGCUCGCGUCCG